rnacentral:rRNA from 1 species
UCGAGAAUCUUUCGCAAUGGACGAAAGUCUGACGAAGCGACGCUGCGUGAGCGAUGAAGGCCUUCGGGUCGUAAAGCUCUUUCGCGCAAGAACAAGGGAACUUAGUGAAUAACUGAGUGACUUGAGGGUACUGCGUAAAGAAGCACCGGCUAACUCCGUGCCAGCAGCUGCGGUAAUACGGAGAGUGCAAGCAUUAAUCGGAAUUAUUGGGCGUAAAGGGCGCGUAGGCGGGAAUGUAAGUCAGAUGUGAAAUACUGAAGCUCAACUUCAGUGCUGCAUUUGAAACUGCGUUUCUUGAGGGUUGACGGAGAAAACGGAAUUCCACGUGUAGCGGUGAAAUGCGUAGAUAUGUGGAAGAACACCGGUGGCGAAGGCGGUUUUCUAGUUAAUACCUGACGCU